AUAUAAAUAAGCUUUUAUAAAUGAGUUUAUUUGGAUAAGUUUUAUGAACUGUUUCCUUUAAGCAUGAUUUGUACGGUUUAGUACUUUGAUCUACGUGAUGCUUAAUUUCUGAAGCUCUAGUAAUAUAAAAAGCAGAGUUUGAGAACUUUACCAGAGGAGAUAGCAGCAAAGCUUCAGAUUUACCGAGAUGCAGCUGUAGAAGUGCGCAGGAUCCACCACCGGGCCAUUCCUAGCUUCCGCGCCAUCAAAUCAGGUAGAGUUUUGUAGAAAAGCCCUUGGAACUCUGUAAACUUUAGAAAAUGCUCUGAUAUCUAGUUGAAACUGAAAAACUGGAGUUGAGAUCUGUUAUUUGAGAUAUUCUGGCAGUUGGUGUGGAUUUAAUUGAUUGUUUAACAGGUGGAAAACUUUGGGUUUGGUCAAAAUUCAGGGGAAACUCUGCCGAAUUUUCGGCAGAAGUC